rnacentral:rRNA from 1 species
GAUGAACGCUGGCGGCGUGCCUAACACAUGCAAGUCGAACGGAGUCCAGCCUUUAAGACCUUCGGGUCAAAGAGGGGAAGACUGAGUGGCGGACGGGUGAGUAACACGUGGGCAACCUGGCUCAUAGAGGGGGAUAACAGAGAGAAAUUUCUGCUAAUACCGCAUAAGCACACACUGCCGCAUGGCAGAGGGUGAAAAGAGAAUCGCUAUGAGAUGGACCCGCGUCUGAUUAGCCAGUUGGCAGGGUAAGAGCCUACCAAAGGGACGAUCAGUAGCCGAUCUGAGAGGAUGAACGGCCACAUUGGGACUGAGACACGGCCCAAACUCCUACGGGAGGCAGCAGUGGGGGAUAUUGCACAAUGGGGGGAACCCUGAUGCAGCGACGCCGCGUGAGUGAAGAAGUAUUUCGGUAUGUAAAGCUCUAUCAGCAGGGAAGAUAAUGACAGUACCUGAAUAAGAAGCCCCGGCUAACUACGUG